GGGGUUGUGGCUCAGGGAUAGAGCAUUUGCCUCGUGCAUAUAAGGUUCUGGGUUCGAUCCUCAGCACCACA
rnacentral:tRNA from 1 species